GCCUAACCGUAAGGAGGGCGCUUACCACGGCAGGGUUCGUGACUGGGGUGAAGUCGUAACAAGGUAGCCGUAUCGGAAGGUGCGGCUGGAUCACCUCCUUUCUGG
rnacentral:rRNA from 1 species